CCCUCUUUUUAUGUUUAUUUACUGAAAGAUGGACAAGGAUUUCAGAAAUCAAAUCAGAAGCAAAAUUUGGAUGAUGUUCUUUUCACAAUAUCUAAUGUUCAUCUUGAUCACAGUGGAAAUUACAGCUGCUUGUACUCCACUACAAAUUACAACCCUUCUGAUGUAGAAAGGAAAGGACAGGAUGUUGCUGAGACUCUGGUUAUACCCAAUUUCAUCCCAGCAGAGCUCUCCAUAGCUGGACCCUUCACAGUUAAUGAGGGAAGCAACGUUGAGUUUAAAUGCACCUUUUCAGAAAUCCUGCACACUCUCAAUAACUGUCAACUCAUCUACUGCUACCUGAAGAAGAAUGAGACCAUCCUUCAAGUACAAGUAUUUGAUCUUGCUCAGAUGGAAGCCUCUUUCACCAUUGAAGGUGCUGUUUCAAGGGAUUCAGGUCCAUAUAGUUGCCUUUUGCUGCCGUCAAAAUGCUUCCAGAAACAAUGGAAUGAGCUUCAGGGAAUAAAUACGGUGAUUCUGGAGGUCAAAGAGGAUUUGAUCCCAUGGGCGGCUUUGUCUUGUGGAAUUACAUUCCUUAUUUUGCUUUUCAUUCUGUGUCUGGGAUUGAUGAUUUACAAAAGUUGCUUCAAAGCUUUGUACAAGCCAUGGUGAGUCUUCGUUUAACUGCACUUCCUGUUGGCAGACGGGAGAAAUUAACAGACAGUGAUCGAAUACAAAGUAAAUGUAAUACAUAAGGAAGAAUUUGCUUUCUGUUUGAAUUAUGUAUUUUCUAAUUUUGAUAGUGAGCAGCAGAAUACAGAUGUGUUGGCA